GACAGAGGUGCCAAGCGUUAGGCGGAAUCACUGGGCUUAAAGCGUGUGUAGGUGGAUGUCUAAGUACCUUGUGAAAUCCCACGGCUCAACCGUGGAACUGCUCGGUAUACUGGAUGUCUUGAGCCACUUAGGGGCUACCGGAACAAAUAGUGGAGCGGUGAAAUGCGUAGAUAUCAUUUGGAACGCCAAUGGUGAAAACAGGUAGCUGGGAGUGUGCUGACACUGAGACACGAAAGCCAGGGGAGCGAACGGG
rnacentral:rRNA from 1 species